GGCUGGUCCGAGUGCAGUGGUGUUUACAACUAAUUGAUCACAACCAGUUGCAGAUUUCUUUGUUCCUUCUCCACUCCCAAUGCUUCACUUGACUAGCCUAAA
rfam:Callithrix jacchus chromosome 7, whole genome shotgun sequence